AUUGAACGCUGGCGGCAGGCUUAACACAUGCAAGUCGAGCGGGGUGAUGGUGCUUGCACUAUCACUUAGCGGCGGACGGGUGAGUAAUGCUUAGGAAUCUGCCUAUUAGUGGGGGACAACAUCUCGAAAGGGAUGCUAAUACCGCAUACGUCCUACGGGAGAAAGCAGGGGAUCACUUGUGACCUUGCGCUAAUAGAUGAGCCUAAGUCGGAUUAGCUAGUUGGUGGGAUAAAGGCCUACCAAGGCGACGAUCUGUAGCGGGUCUGAGAGGAUGAUCCGCCAGACUGGGACUGGGACACGACCCAGAAUCCUACGGGAGGCAGGAGUGGGGAAGAUUGGACAAUGGGGGGAACCCUGAUCCAGCCAUGCCGCGUGUGUGAAGAAGGCCUUAUGGUUGUAAAGCACUUUAAGCGAGGAGGAGGCUCUUUUGGUUAAUACCCAAGAUGAGUGGACGUUACUCGCAGAAUAAGCACCGGCUAACUCUGUGCCAGCAGCCGCCGUAA
rnacentral:rRNA from 1 species